CGCGGCCUAUCAGCUUGUUGGUGGGGUAAUGGCUCACCAAGGCGACGACGGGUAGCCGGCCUGAGAGGGCGACCGGCCACACUGGGACUGAGACACGGCCCAGACUCCUACGGGAGGCAGCAGUGGGGAAUAUUGCACAAUGGGCGAAAGCCUGAUGCAGCGACGCCGCGUGAGGGAUGACGGCCUUCGGGUUGUAAACCUCUUUCAGCAGGGACGAAGCGUAAGUGACGGUACCUGCAGAAGAAGCGCCGGCCGACUACGUGCCAGCAGCCGCGGUAAGACGUAGGGCGCGAGCGUUGUCCGGAUUUAUUGGGCGUAAAGAGCUCGUAGGCGGCUUGUCGCGUCGACUGUGAAAACCCGCAGCUCAACUGCGGGCCUGCAGUCGAUACGGGCAGGCUAGAGUUCGGUAGGGGAGACUGGAAUUCCUGGUGUAGCGGUGGAAUGCGCAGAUAUCAGGAGGAACACCGGUGGCGAAGGCGGGUCUCUGGGCCGAUACUGACGCUGAGGAGCGAAAGCGUGGGGAGCGAACAGGAUUAGAUACCCUGGUAGUCCACGCCGUAAACGGUGGGCGCUAGGUGUGGGGGACCUCUCCGGUUCUCUGUGCCGCAGCUAACGCAUUAAGCGCCCCGCCUGGGGAGUACGG
rnacentral:rRNA from 1 species